rnacentral:rRNA from 1 species
CUUUUGAUUAUAAUUUAAGGUCUGACCUGCCCCCUGAGGAGUUAAAUGGCCGCGGUAUUUUGACCGUGCAAAGGUAGCAUAAUCAUUAGUUUUUUAAUUGAAAGCUGGUAUGAAAGGUUGGAUGAGAAAAUAACUGUCUCUAAUUUAAUUUAAUAGAAUUUUAUUUUUAAGUAAAAAAGCUUAAAUAUUUAUAGAAGACGAGAAGACCCUAUAGAGUUUUAUAUUUGAUUAUUAUAGGUUUUUUAGAAUUUUAAUCUUUAUGAUAUUUAAAUAUUUAGUUGGGGUGAUUGAAAAAUUAAAUUAACUUUUUUUUUAUUAUUACAUUUAUUUAUGAAUAAUUGAUCCUUAAUUAAAGAUUAUAAGAUAAAAUUACCUUAGGGAUAACAGCGUAAUUUUUUUUGAGAGUUCAAAUCGAAAAGAAAGAUUGCGACCUCGAUGUUGGAUUAAAAUUUACUUUUGGUGUAGAAGCUAAA